UUGUAACUUUAUUAGAACAAUUGAUGUAGUGGGGUUCUAUUUGUGGUUUCCUUUUGAUUGAUGUACAUUAACAAAUCAAAUCAUCUUAAUAUGAGGGGUAGUUAACAAAAGAGCUUCUAUUUUUUUUUAGUCAGCCAAAGAUUAAACUUUUAUUGACACACAAAGAAAAGGCUCCUUAGCAAGAAGCUAAAAGAAGCCCUGCAAAAAUAGAAGCACAAAAGAGAACAGAAAUACAGAACCUUAAUUAAAGUUAAUCUUCGGUUUCUAAUGAUUUCUUUAUUUACAAUACGUAUAAAGUUGAAAACUUGACAACUCGGUUGAGAAUUUACGGUUUGGGGAGAGUUUGAGGGUCGUGGAGUAUUUUAAAGAGGUGUAUGGGUAUGAGAUACAGUAUAGGAAUUGGUCGCGUUUGCAGACGAGUCGGAGGCAGGUGUGUUACCUGCUGAUAGAGGUGUGUAUUAUGUGUGAUGGGCAGAAGUUUACGGGAAACUUUCAGAUGAGCAAACGGGGAGAAUGUUGAAGUUGGGGUGCUAGAAACCGAUGGAACGGAAAGCGAUUAUUGAUAGGUUAUGGUUGGAUCCUUUGGUCCAUCUAGAAAACGUUUGAAGAAAAGGAGCAAAAAUGGGGGAAUAUGAAUAACCGCAAGGAAUGCAGAGCUCUAUUUAGAAAUCCUACACAACGAAAGCAACAUACGUUUUGUGCCCAAGCUGAGUUUUUUUAACAGGUUGAUGGUAAAUUUACCAGAUGCUCCAAACAGGGAGAAAAUAUUAAGAGUGAUAUUGGCAAAAGAGGAAUAAAAGAAAAGAGUCAUGCAAGAGAAGUGGAAAAGUCUAAUUUGCAAGAAAAGUCAAAGGUAAGCCAAGAAGCUGAAAUCAAGAAGUUAAGAAAGAGUUUGAAUUUCAAAGCAGCACCGAUGCCGAGUUUUUACAAAGAGCCCCCUCCUAAAGUGGAACUCAAGAAGGUAUU
rnacentral:lncRNA from 1 species